ACAGUGCGCGUGCCGGAAGCAGCCCCAGCGCGCGAGGCCAACGGUCCCCAGGCUGUGCGCGGUCUUUGCGAAACUUUGUGCGGGGCGCGUGCUCCGAGUCUUUGUCUUGGUUCUUCUCAGCAACUUUGGGGACUAAUGUGGAGGACACGACGGGUAGAGCUGCUGACGGCGGAGAUGAAGACCUCUCGAUGGUGGUGGUGUCUCGCUGUCGUGGUCGUUCACGUCGUGUGUUGUGCUGGACAAGGUGUAGGGACGAAGUGCUGGUCAUGUGACUACAAUGUCACCAGUUGUCGGGAACCUUCAGGAGUCCGUUAUAUCCCUGACGUCGCCACUGACAACGACUUCUGCAAGAAACUGAGAAUGUCACCUACAUAAUUCACGACCUUUGCCGUGCCUACCCGAAUGGCUACCAUGUUCUGUGCGAGAGAGGAGACCUCAGCGAGAUUUCCUGCAAGGACUCCGCAAUCUGCCGACUGGAGCCUGCUUUCCAGACAGGGUCGAGCUCGUCCCACCGCCCGUCUAUGUCCCCCGCUCUCUACUUUGUCAUUGCCGCCAUCGCUUUGACGAGGAGCGGCCUGCAGCCCAAGGGUACCCGGAUGUCGGCUGUGCACGUGUUUGAUGCCUGACUCUUUCCUACACGUGCUUGAGAAUGCGACGUUAGUGAGUCAUGUGCGUGCAUGCUAAAAGAAUAUAUCAUCAGAGACUGGAGUGCAUCGUCUGCGGAGACAGGACAGCUUGGUGCUGGGAACUCUUUUGACUGCAAAACAUUUUGAGUUGACCGGUGGCGCGCUGACUCACCCUGACCCGGAGGUGACUCACAGGGGUCACCAGAACGUCGACCAGACAGGUUGUGUGUGAAGAGUGGUGGUGGUGGUCGGAGGGAGCGGAGCAGGACUGUGGCCACCUUCGCUGCACGUGUGUCCACCUUGAUUCUCAGGACGAGGCAUAUUCCCUCCCACAGACUCCAGCAGCUGAUGGCGCGGACACCUGUGAAAUGACGACUUGUUGUGUACCCUGACCCACCCGAGCUCCUUCAGCAUGGCGCCACCACAAAAAUAAACAUUACACGUGCAUCCACACGCGUGCCCAUCCAGCCACCUUGACAUUGUCCUUGACCUUCUAGUCAAGUAGUCCGCCAGGGUUUAUUCCACAUUUGUCGUGUGGGAAACGGAAAAAAAAUACUUGCCAAAUUUUUAUGAUUAGUCAAAUUUUGCAGUUAUUGGUUUAGAUAUGUUUUGUUGAGCGACUUUCCAGUUUUUACGAACAUUUUCACCGAACUUGGAUGCUGAUGUUUUGUGUUGUCCUACACCAGUUCAUACAGCCACUGGUUGUCAGGAUUUUUUGGACAGUUUGCCAGGACAUAGCGGUGAGGGCUGAGAACAUCUGAUAAAGAGAUGACCAGCUUCCCCCACCCCAACCCCGCUACAAUGUACAAUGUUUACUGCUUUGUUCAGUUUUUCUAGUCAGACAUUUGAUGUCGCUCAAGUAAUGUUUCCUCGGAAGAACCCCUCCCCCAACCUAUCUUACAGCCCCGCCACGACGCCAUGUUUAUCCGCACCAAAGAGGGUCAGCUUGAGAGAAUUGGCCCUCUUUGCAUGGAUCAUUCCAGAAUCGCACAAAAGUAACCAGGACACCACAAAAGUCAUCGGCGUAGCACAAAGCUUUCGGGGGAGGGGGAAACUGUAUAUGGUAUCCCUUUAAAUGUUUUUUCUGCCCCCUUCCCCAGCAGCUGACAUAUCUUCAGGUCAAUCGCUGAAAUCAGUACUCUUCACUUUUAGCUUUCGAUCUUCACCUUCAUCUUGCCACCGGUAGGGGGCAGACCGCGAGUCCCAUCCACGUCAGUUCUUUAAGACGGUUUAUUUGAGUGAUUGUUUUGUUUUUGGUCGACUCAGGUCUUUAAUCACACAUCUACGUAUGUGUCUCAUCUGACAUCGCCGUCAUAUCUGCGAAGGGCGCACACCACUGACAUCAGCAUGAACUUAUUCUUCACCUUUGCUUAUCUAUGUCAGUCACUUUCUCUUAUUGACUUCUUGCCCUUUUCGAGGGCUUCAUGUUACUCCCUGACUUUGGGGGCUUUGCUCGUCACUGCUCGAGCGUACAGGUCUCAAAGCCAGUUUUUUUUUUAGCACGGUGUAGAAAAUGCUAGGAAAGAAGAUUCGUGCUGGAACUGUGUGAAGCGACUAAUGCGAAUCCACCUGUCAGCAGUGUACCCAAGUAUUCCUGUAAAGCCAUGGAGUUAGCGCUUACCUACGCGUCUUGCACCCGGCCAACUUUCGAAAGAGGAGUGGUCGGCCUUGUAGGCACAUACGAAGGCAGGUAGUCUUCGGAGUGGACCUGGGUAGCCGGUCUUAUGUCUACCCCUUGAUUAGGCAUCCGGACUUGGGGAAGAUUAUGUCCAAUUUAAAGAGUUGAAUGUCGGGGUAGUUUAGUCCAUGACUUCCCAACAACAAUGUAAAAACACUGACUGCGCUGUAGGAGUUAUCCCGUCAUGUGUUCAGGGUAUUCUUCCACCCCAUCUCUCCACCUUUGCAACGCGUUGUUGCCAGUCGUCGCUUUAUCAUUCUCAUUUGUUAUCAGUUUCCGCCCGGUUCAUUUGGUUAAAAGCAAUAAUUUUGUUGUCACCUCCCAUGUAAAAUAAUAUUUUGUUGCUCCCCUUGUGUUGACAUGACAUUUUGUCAGCAAUCGCUGCACGCGCCUCUAGAUUUUUUUUAUUUACAAUGAUUGUUUUUUUUUUCCACUCAGGUCGACUCAACUGUUUUAACAGCUUUACUACGGGGGGUAUUUUGAUGACAUUAUUCUUCAACCGACCAAUGCAGUUGUUUUCUUGUUGCCAUGGUUACACAUCUAGCGCCAGUCAAACCCUUCCCUUGCGACUCGGUGUGUGUAUGUGUGUGUGAGAGAGAGAAUGGUCUGUGAAAGGUAAAAUCGAACUAUCUUGUACCUUCCUGAUAAAUCACGUGCCCUCACUGUUGGGUAGAGAGAGGCGAUUUGACAAUCACCAAAACUCGAACCACCGGCCUCCAGAGUGGAGCGCAUAAGUCCAAGACUGGGGUCCUAGUCCCCCUGACCCCAGUUUUAAACAGCGAAUUUAAAAUUUUCUUCUGUGGAAUGCUGAGAGUGGCUUAUUUUGCAAUAAUACAUUUCAUCUGUCCAGUCAUGCCACUGUUGCAUUUUUGCCGUUUAAUCCUUUGUUUUGUUUUUGCUUUUCACUCUAACAGUAUUAUUAUUAUUCAGUUGCAGAUUUUGCACCAUAUUAUUCUCAGGCAUGCGCAGUUCUGCUGUGACAUUCUCAAAGUGGCAUUUUGAUCAUGCCAUGCAUUUCUGUAGUCUGUAGUGAAUAUCAAUGAACCUGCCAUUCCAGAAAUAGCGCCAGGCGUACAUGUCUCCAGUCAUCGCUAAAAUAAAUAACACCGAUCAAAGCCCUCGUGAGGCUCAACCUGUGCCAGGACUAGUCAGCAUGGAGCAUGAUGGCGUCUCCUGCACCGCGCUAGUCUGGACUUCCAUUGUUGUUAUACUGUUGAAUAAACUUAUGGAGUAAGAGGGUCAGAUAGAAAAAUAAUGAUCUAACACACCCCCUUACAUUUCACGAUGAACUGGGAGGAGGAGGAGGAACAGUGGUUUCCUGACGAGCCGCGGUUCUAGAGUACACGUGUAUUUUCGCCCAGGAAAUGACAGCGCGCAUGUCAGCUGAAGGUGUCAUGCCAUGCAUCAGCUGACCCACAUGAUGCCAGAACUAUUGGCAGGCAGCAAGGGGCGGGGUGUUUAGGGGGGAGGCACCAGAACGAGGGCACUUAACGGUAAUUGUCGAUGCGUGGUGGCAGAUCGUGACUGGCAUGCACCAGGCUGUGACCUUGGUAGCUGCGCAUGCGCGGUAAAAGUGGCUUUUGUUUAUGGGCUUUCCUCCAAUGUACAACGCUUCUAAUCCACGAACUUCCUUGGAUUACAUGGUCCGCUUUCAUUGUUGAAAAAAAAACAACAACAGCCCCACUUCCCCCCCAGUAUUCAGUAAUGUGACAUGGCUGCCCUCCCAGUUCUUGUUUGAGGGCAUGGGGGUAAGGACUCCACCUCCCCCUUCCCGGCCCACCCUGUUGUUAGAGCGUUGGGUCGUGUUGUGCACACAAGGCAGUAUUAUCGUAUUAUCAUAUUAUCGUAUUAUCGCCUGUCAUGCCUGCUUCCAUCCUGCCGCACAUCACUUGUAUGAUUGCCUGCAUGGCAUGCCAUCAGCUCGCCAUGACAUGACUGCUGUACGUACCAGCACAGCGCCGGCCUUUCAACCAAUCGCGUGCGGCCAACGCUGAGCGCAUGUCAGAGCUAAGUUCACUUCCGCUUAUGAAAUACUUAGUUUUCUCCCUUUGAAUCUAAUCCUUUUCUGAAGAACCUCGAAUUGAAAAAAAAAACAACAGCAACAAAAACAAACAAACAAACAAACCAAAAAAAAACCCAAACAAACAAACAAACAUAAAAACAAAACAAAACGAAGGAACUGUAGUGGAGCAACAACAACGUAGUAGUAGGAGUUUCUCCAAGACAACAGACCCACAAAAGUCGACUUGUUUAAUUCAUUUUUAAAAUUGUUUUCUGGAAUCCGAAAAUCCCGAUUGGGGAUACGUUUAGCGAUAUUCGCACCUUUCUUUUUUUUACGUUUUUUUUCUCACUCGUUUUCUAUAAAGAUAUGUAUUUUAUUUUUAUAAUUCCUUUUCGGUAUAUACUGCAUCGUUUACUGUCUCAGACCUAUUGGUCACGUGUUCAAGAUGUACAAAUUAUAUGUUUGCGUAGCGAUAUUACAAAUUACUGUGCAAUGAAAGUCAAAUCUUUUCUUUGUUGCAGCGGGUACCGUUGGAAAAUAUGAUUACUGAAUGACACAACAUGGUAUCUCUUGCUGUCUUAAGUUUAGCUUUCUAGUUUUUUUUUUUUAUACAUAUGAACACAAUUUACCGAAGUGACCUUACUAAUCGAGUCAUGAUUUCAUACUUGCACAAUUCAGCUUUUAGCAGAAAAGUUUCCCAGUCAUUUGUAACGAAUCUUUUUUUUAUUUUUGUUUUAAACUUACUACAUGUGUUACAUUGUUACAUGUAUGUUUUUGUUUUGGUUUGAAAUCUGAUUGUCACAUUCCAUUAGUC